rnacentral:rRNA from 1 species
AUUGAACGCUGGCGGCAGGCCUAACACAUGCAAGUCGAGCGGAUGAUGGGAGCUUGCUCCUUGAUUCAGCGGCGGACGGGUGAGUAAUGCCUAGGAAUCUGCCUGGUAGUGGGGGACAACGUUUCGAAAGGAACGCUAAUACCGCAUACGUCCUACGGGAGAAAGCAGGGGACCUUCGGGCCUUGCGCUAUCAGAUGAGCCUAGGUCGGAUUAGCUUGUUGGUGAGGUAAUGGCUCACCAAGGCGACGAUCCGUAACUGGUCUGAGAGGAUGAUCAGUCACACUGGAACUGAGACACGGUCAAGACUCCGACGGGAGGCAGCAGUGGGGAAUAUUGGACAAUGGGCGAAAGCCUGAUCCAGCCAUGCCGCGUGUGUGAAGAAGGUCUUCGGAUUGUAAAGCACUUUAAGUUGGGAGGAAGGGUUGUAGAUUAAUACUCUGCAAUUUUGACGUUACCGACAGAAUAAGCACCGGCUAACUCUGUGCCAGCCGCCGCAGUAAUAC